rnacentral:rRNA from 1 species
GAUGAACGCUGGCGGCGUGCCUAAUACAUGCAAGUCGAGCGAACGGACGAGAAGCUUGCCGCUCUGAUGUUAGCGGCGGACGGGUGAGUAACACGUGGAUAACCUACCUAUAAGACUGGGAUAACUUCGAGAAACCGGAUCUAAUACCGGAUGAUAUUUUGAACCGCAUGGUGCAAAAGUGAAAGACGGUCUUGCUGUCACGUAUAGCUGCAUCCGCGCUGCAUUAGCUAGUUGGUAAGGUAACGGCUUACCAAGGCAACGAUGCAUAGCCGACCUGAGAGGGUGAUCGGCCACACUGGAAGUGAGCCGCGGUCCAGACUCCUACGGGAGGCAGCAGUAGGGAAUCGUCCGAGCUGGGCGAAAGCCUGACGGAGCAACGCAGCGUGAGUGAUGAAGGUCUUCGGAUCGGAAAACUCUGUUAGUAGGGAAGAACAUAUGUGUAAGUAACUGUGCAUAUCUUGACGGUACCUAAUCAGAAAGCCACGGCUAACUACGU